AUUUAAUUUUUAUUUAUCUAAUCAUUCACUCAUGCAAUAAGUAAUUACUUUAAUAUUAAAAAUAUUUUUUUCUAACAACAUUCUCAACAAUGCAUCAUACAUAUAAUUCAUAAACAACAUUUGUCUUAAACCAAUUUAAGAGAGGGUAGGGUUGGAUUCUAGAAACCUGAGAAUUUGAUGAUAGAGCUCCUUACGUAUUCAUCAGCCUCAGUGAUUUAUUAUAUAAAUAUCAUAAGAGAAUAUAAAUAUCAAUUUAAGAGAAUAACUUACUCAAAUCACUAAGUAAUCCACGACUAUUAUACAUUCAUACUUUGAGUUUGGAUUAAAAAAAAAAUCUUCAAGUAUGAGAAAACUAUUAAAAUAGUUUUAUUGAAAAAUCAUAUAAAAUAAAAAUAAAUUUAGUAAUAAUAUAAUUAAAUAUGU
rnacentral:sRNA from 1 species